UACGUAGGGUGCGAGCGUUGUCCGGAAUUAUUGGGCGUAAAGGGCUCGUAGGCGGUCUGUCACGUCGGGAGUGAAAACUCAGGGCUUAACCCUGAGCCUGCUUCCGAUACGGGCAGACUAGAGGUAUGCAGGGGAGAACGGAAUUCCUGGUGUAGCGGUGAAAUUCGUAGAUAUUGGGAAGAACACCGGUGGCGAAGGCGGCUAUCUGGACCGACAUUGACGCUGAGGCGCGAAAGCGUGGGGAGCAAACAGG
rnacentral:rRNA from 1 species